GUUUAGGCCUACUGUAAUGGGGCUUUUUCUGUAGACCCACGUCAUUGCAAAUGCCAUUCAGAAUAAAUAUGUGGUUUGCCUUACUCAGAACUAUCUGUUAGAUCUGUGGGAAAGAACUACAAGACAGAC